rnacentral:rRNA from 1 species
UACGAAGGGUGCAAGCGUUGCUCGGAAUCAUUGGGCGUAAAGGGCAAGUAGGUGGUCUUGUUUGUCUAUUGUGAAAGCCUUGGGCUUAACCCAAGAAGUGCCAUAGAAACGGCAAGACUAGAGUACUGGAGAGGGUCGCAGAAUUCUUGGUGUAGCGGUGAAAUGCGUAGAGAUCAAGAGGAAUACCAGAGGCGAAAGCGGCGGCCUGGACAGUUACUGACACUCAACUGCGAAAGCGUGGGGAUCAAAC